GCAUCGAUAGCUCAGUGGCAGAGCGGAGGGGCGUUUACUCAUCCGGCCCGGUUUCGAGUCCCGAUCGAUGCA